GACGAACGCUGGCGGCGUGCCUAAUACAUGCAAGUCGAACGCUUCUUUCCUCCCGAGUGCUUGCACUCCAUUGGAAAGAGGAGUGGCGGACGGGUGAGUAACACGUGUGUAACCUACCCAUCAGAGGGGGAUGACACUUGGAAACAGGUGCUAAUACCGCAUAACAGUUUAUGCCGCAUGGCAUAAGAGUGAAAGGCGCUUUCGGGUGUCGCUGAUGGAUGGACCCGCGGUGCAUUAGCUAGUUGGUGAGGUAACGGCUCACCAAGGCCACGAUGCAUAGCCGACCUGAGAGGGUGAUCGGCCGCACUGGGACUGAGCCACGGCCCAGACUCCUACGGGAGGCAGCAGUAGGGAAUCUUCGGCAAUGGACGAAAGUCUGACCGAGCAACGCCGCGUGAGUGAAGAAGGUUUUCGGAUCGUAAAACUCUGUUGUUAGAGAAGAACAAGGACGUUAGUAACUGAACGUCCCCUGACGGUAUCUAACCAGAAAGCCACGGCUAACUACGUG
rnacentral:rRNA from 1 species